rnacentral:hammerhead_ribozyme from 1 species
AUCCAGUUGACGAGCCCCAAAUAGGACGAAAUUCACAUCCUGGAU